AGAAACCAGAUGGCAAGGGAGAUCAUCAAUAGAGACAUUAUUACAAGGGACGUAACUAUGACGAUCCUGUGUCUUUUACAUUUAAUAUCUGAGAUGCACUACAUGGUACCAUAAUUGCUGUACUUAGCACCAACUUCUAAAAGAGAUAUUUUAGAUAAAAGAGAUACUGGUGGCUCUGUGAAAAGUUUUUCAUCCAAAGCUGAAAGUAUUUAGUCGUAAAGGAAAUGUAAUAGAAUUUGCAACUACAGUGAUACUGAGCUGGGUUUCUUUUUUUAAGUGAAGCAUUGCUAAUUAGUAGAUACCCAUACUUACCUAUCUGCACAUAAUGAAAACCAGUUGUAGAGAAAACCAGCAGCAUUUGAGACAUCUGACACCGAAUCUACUUCCAGAGAGUCAAAUAUUUCGUUGUGUUGAAAAAAGUUUACUGGAUUCCAUCUGACAGUGAUUCCAGUAAUUCCAAUUUAUAUUGCUAAUUUAUCAUUUCAAUUCUAAUUCUGAUAUUUAUUUCAUCAUUUUGUUUCUUUCAUCCUGCUCAGUCUCCUGAGUUUUCUCACUCUAAGCGAAAAAUCAAAUCAUGUCUGGGACGUCUCUGUUGUAGAUCGUUUCAUCUUUUAAACAGUGUCUUAUUAAAACAAAGAA